CCUACGGGAGGCAGCAGUGGGGAAUAUUGGGCAAUGGGCGCAAGCCUGACCCAGCAACGCCGCGUGAGGGAAGAAGGCUUUCGGGUUGUAAACUUCUUUUGUCAGGGAAGAGUAGAAGACGGUACCUGACGAAUAAGCCACGGCUAACUACGUGCCAGCAGCCGCGGUAAUACGUAGGUGGCAAGCGUUGUCCGGAGUUACUGGGUGUAAAGGGCGUGUAGCCGGGUUGACAAGUCAGAUGUGAAAUCCUGCGGCUUAACCGCAGAACUGCAUUUGAAACUGUUGAUCUUGAGUACUGGAGAGGCAGACGGAAUUCCUAGUGUAGCGGUGAAAUGCGUAGAUAUUAGGUGGAACACCAGUGGCGAAGGCGGUCUGCUGGACAGCAACUGACGGUGAGGCGCGAAAGCGUGGGGAGCAAACAGGAUUAGAUACCCUUGUAGUC
rnacentral:rRNA from 1 species